rnacentral:rRNA from 1 species
GACGAACGCUGGCGGCGUGCUUAACACAUGCAAGUCGAACGAAGUGGCGAACGGGUGAGUAAUACGUGGGUAACCUGCCCUCCUUUUUGGGAUAAGCCUUGGAAACGGGGUCUAAUACAGAAUCACGGGGGAUGGGGUCGCGGCCUAGCAGGUUGUUGGUGGGGUGAUGGGCUACCAAGGCGGUGACCGGUAGCCGGACUGAGAGGGUGACCGGGCACAUGGGGACUGGGCUACGGCCCAGCGGCAUACAGGAGGGAGCAAUGGGGGAUAAUGGACAAAGGGCGAAAGCCUGAUGCAGGGGCGUAGCGUGGGGGAUGAAGGGUUGCGGGUUGUAAACCUCUUUCAGGAUGGAACGGGUAGGUGGCGAAGAAGCGCCGGCUAACUACGUGCCAGCCGCCGCGGUAAUUC